rnacentral:rRNA from 1 species
GUCUACUGCCAUGCCACCCUGAACAAUCCUGAGCCCGUCUGAUCUGUGAAGCAAAGCAAGAUUGGGCAUGGUUAGUACUUGGAUGGGAGACCGACCACCUAGGAAGAUCAGGUGCUGUAGGCC